UAAAAGCAAGAUCACACUCGCAAUCAUGCUCUUGUAGUGAAUAUCAGCACAAUUGUGAUUAUCUGCGGCUGAAUCACAGUAGUGAUGUGUCGUUCAUGAACGAUUCGAUCAUUUUGAACAAAUCUUUAAUAUGAGUCCAGAACAGCGAGUUGUCUCAGAGAGUGAUUCGUUCAUUUUUCAUCGCGCAUGCGCGACAACUUCCAAAUAGUUUAUUUACCGGAAACAGAAAUGAUUAGUUCACCUCUCAAGUCUUCGGGUUCGAGUCGUUCGUUCAUCCCGUUUCCGGUAAUGCAAGGUGCAUUGUCUAUGCAGCUGUCACCCAAAGAACUCGAACACAAAGACAGAUGAACUAAUCAUUUCUGUUUCUGGGGAACAGACACAAAUGUGAUGUGACAAAAGAAAGAAUGACUCGGAUCUUGAGCCAUGCUGAUAUGCACUACAACAGCUUGGUCUGUCCAGUUACCGGCUGCCAAAACAGACCGUGUUCAUCAGCUGAUGGCUUGUAUGUUGGUGAGCAACAGCGCUAAUAAACACACUGUGUGCCUGUGGCCUUUGCGCAUUUCCCAGA